rnacentral:lncRNA from 1 species
AGGUGAGAAAUGAUUGAGUCUUGGUGUCCUGUAGAGAGAAAUGCUGUCUUCUGGGACCACGGCCCUGAGCUUGGGGACCCUGUCAGCAUCCAGGUUCCCGGGAGGAAAUCCUAACUAACCAGAGACACAAUCAGGGGACGUGUCUGCUAUCUGGGUAAGUGAUGGUAUGUGCUGUAAACUCAACACAGACCAUUUGAUCUUAAUGUAUUAGGUCAGUGAGGUUCCUUUCCCUGAACGGUUUACCAUGUGAUGGGUUUAUGGGUGUUCUGGUAAGAAAGGGUAGUAGCUCCCCGUUCUCAUUGCCAUGUGAUCCUGUUGUUUUCAGUCCAGGAGAGAACGUAUGAGGUAUGUACCCUGUGAGUGCUGAUUGAUUGGCACGUGCCCAGGGAAUUCACAUGGCACUGUGCAUCACAGGAGUAACCAUGGUGGCUUUGCAGAGAAGCGGGCCAGAGAAAAUAGCAUGUCCUGCAAUGGCCUAGACCUUGGAGGACCUGCAAACAUCCAGGUCACAGGAAACCUCUUCGUGCUUGAGCGGAGGACUGUGCCUGUAUUUAGGUGGGUGAUGGCGUGGGCCUAAGCAGGCCACGGACUAUCCGAUCUUCCCAUACACAGGAAAAUGUGCCUUGAACCUGAGUCCGUGUUGACUGAGGGAGAUGUGGGUGUCCAGGUACGCCAAGUGGCAUCCCGGAAAACACCUGUCAGAUGCAUUUCUUCUGCUGCUGCUAGUCAUGAGAUCAAG